CUUUAUGGGCGGGCUGGACGGGGAGCCCUCGGGCUCGCCGGUGCUCCGCCGGUACGCCAACCCGUUCAGUUCCGCCCACCCCG
rnacentral:antisense_RNA from 1 species